GCAUAUUUUGGUCCCGGGAUGAUAUUUAUUCUCAAGUGAUUCCUACAAAAGAGUGGCGUGGUCCUGCUCAACUUGCUCAGAUUCCCCAAGGUAUAAUGUGGCUGAUGAAGAAGAGAGAAUGAGAGACAAAGAAACUAUAUGUAAACUAGAAGAUAAGGUGCAUGCGCAAGCGGUUGAAAUGAGCACUUUAAAAUAACAAGUGGCUGAAAUGAGCACUAUAAAAGAACAAGUGGCUUUCAUGAUGAGACAUAUGCCUGAGUUUACUAGAUCAUAGGUUCGAGAUGGUUGUAAUGGCCCCUUUGAUCAGGCUUCUCCACACGCACAUCAAAGAUCAUCGCACGCAAGUCAUGACAUCGAAUGUUCUAAUUGAGGUACAUUCUUACAUUGUACAUGAACUAAAUUUACUUAGUUGGAAAUGUGUGUUACAAUCUAUAAACUUCUUCUGUCAUUUUGAUAUAACGUAGUUGGAAAUAACUUUUUGGGUCUUACUGUCAUUAAUUUAGUGUU